UACGUAGGGGGCGAGCGUUGUCCGGAGUUACUGGGCGUAAAGCGCACGCAGGCGGUUUCGUACGUCUGGAGUGACAGUUCCCGGCUCAACUGGGAAAGGUCUUCGGAAACGGCGAGACUUGAGGGCUUCAGAGGGACACGGAAUUCCGGGUGGAGUGGUGAAAUGCGUAGAGAUCCGGAGGAACACCAAUGGCGGAGGCAGUGUCCUGGGAAGCAUCUGACGCUCAGGUGCGAAAGCUAGGGGAGCGAACAGG
rnacentral:rRNA from 1 species